GCUAGUUGGUGGGGUAAAGGCUCACCAAGGCGACGAUCAGUAGCUGGUCUGAGAGGAUGAUCAGCCACACUGGGACUGAGACACGGCCCAGACUCCUACGGGAGGCAGCAGUGGGGAAUCUUGCGCAAUGGGCGAAAGCCUGACACAGCGACGCCGCGUGAGGGAUGACGGCCUUCGGGUUGUAAACCUCUUUCAGCACAGACGAAGCGCCCGUUGUGGGUGGUGACGGUAUGUGCAGAAGAAGCACCGGCCAACUACGUGCCAGCAGCCGCGGUAAUACGUGUGCGAGCGUUGUCCGGAAUUAUUGGGCGUAAAGGGCUCGUAGGCGGUCUGUCGCGUCGGGAGUGAAAACUCAGGGCUUAACCCUGAGCCUGCUUCCGAUACGGGCAGACUAGAGGUAUGCAGGGGAGAACGGAAUUCCUGGUGUAGCGGUGAAAUGCGCAGAUAUCAGGAGGAACACCGGUGGCGAAGGCGGUUCUCUGGGCAUUACCUGACGCUGAGGAGCGAAAGUGUGGGGAGCGAACAGGAUUAGAUACCCUGGUAGUCCACACCGUAAACGUUGGGCGCUAGGUGUGGGACUCAUUCCACGAGUUCCGUGCCGCAGCUAACGCAUUAAGCGCCCCGCCUG
rnacentral:rRNA from 1 species